CUUCACCGAGCCGAGCAGCAGCGGACGAUCCGCGGGACGGCCCUGGCCGUACGUCGCGAGCAGCGCCUGCGCCUC
rnacentral:antisense_RNA from 1 species